GGCCUACCAUGGUGGUAACGGGUAACGGGGUGUUAGGGCACGACACCGGAGAGGGAGCCUGAGAAACGGCUACCACAUCCAAGGAUGGCAGCAGGCGCGCAAAUUACCCAAUCCCGACACGGGGAGGUAGUGACAAUAAAUAACAAUACGGGGUUCUUUCGGAUCUCGUAAUUGGAAUGAGUACAAUUUAAAUCUCUUAACGAGGAACAAUUGGAGGGCAAGUCUGGUGCCAGCAGCCGCGGUAAUUCCAGCUCCAAUAGCGUAUAUUAAAGUUGUUGCAGUUAAAAAGCUCGUAGUUGAAUUUCGGGGUCAGCAGGUUGGUCGUGCCACUGGUAUGCACUGGCCUUGCUGAUCCCUCCCUCUUGAUGAGCCGUAAUGCCAUUAAUUUGGUGUUGCGGGGAAUCAGGACUGUUACUUUGAAAAAAUUAGAGUGUUUAAAGCAGGCAAGCGCUUGAAUACAUUAGCAUGGAAUAAUGAAAUAGGACGAUCGAUCCUAUUUUGUUGGUUUCUAGGAUUGACGUAAUGAUUAAUAGGGAUAGUUGGGGGCAUUAGUAUUCAAUUGUCAGAGGUGAAAUUCUUGGAUUUAUUGAAGACUAACUACUGCGAAAGCAUUUGCCAAGGAUGUUUUCAUUAAUCAAGAACGAAAGUUAGGGGAUCGAAGACGAUCAGAUACCGUCGUAGUCUUAACCAUAAACUAUGCCGACUAGGAAUCAGACGAUGUUAAUUUUUUAAUGACUCGUUUGGCACCUUACG
rnacentral:rRNA from 1 species